UUUUUAUUUAUUUUGCUAUAUUUAAAGAUUUAAGUAAAUGUUUGGAAUAAAAUAGAGAAAUAUUUUCAGGACGAGUGGUGGCGUCACCGCUCCUGGAAAUGGAUUUCUAAGGUCAGGUGAUGGCUUUAUCCGCUUCUUUAAAUUGAUUUCAGAGUUAAUAUAGAAAAAUGACAUACUUCAUAGAGUCACAAGUGACUAUGUAGUGUGGUGUAGAGAAGGGUACGCGCGAGGCUUGAGGUAAAAGACUAGGAUUUUUUCUUUUUUAUUUUGUUGUUUUGAUUUUUUUCUAAAUUUUUUUAUUUUUGGAAAAUUGAUUGUAGGGCGGGUCAUACCCUAAUUCGCCUCUACAAAUCGAUUUCUAGGAGUACGUGUACCCAUUACCCAUCCCUAGAAAUAGUUGUUUGCAGGAGUGGGUACCACACCCGCUCUAGAAAUAUAUUUUUACCCGCCUCUAAAAAUUAUUUUUUAUAGUGUGACUACACACCUGUUUAUACUGAAUUGCCAAGUUCAACAAUUUGGUGGUGUUGCCAACAACUACAGAAAAACUAUUUGGAACGCAGGAAAACUAGCUAAUGUGGCAGUACAACAUGUAAAAGUGAAAUGAACCAAUCUUCCUGAAUCGACUUCUACUUGGGAAGGUCUCUAUGUUCUGCGCCACAGGUUUCCCAAUUGCCAUGCUGGGGAAGGUCUCUAUGUUCUGCGCCACAGGUUUCCCAAUUGCCAUGCUGGGGUUUCUCUAUGUUCUGCCGUCUUCAGCAGGGGGGCAUGUCACGCGGCUAGCGACAAGUGAAGAAGGCAUUUUCCUGAAAGGCGUGUUCGAAGGUGGGAAACAACUGUAGUAGCAUGUGUGGGUUUUACUCUGUAAUUUCAGAUGAGUCUGGCCUUUGGGCUGUAGCUUGUGCAUUUGGCUUAAAGCCUUGAGCCUGUAACGUGAACAUGUACC
rnacentral:lncRNA from 1 species